AUUGAACGCUGGCGGCAGGCCUAACACAUGCAAGUCGAGCGGCAGCGGGAAAGUAGCUUGCUACUUUUGCCGGCGAGCGGCGGACGGGUGAGUAAUGCCUGGGAAAUUGCCCAGUCGAGGGGGAUAACAGUUGGAAACGACUGCUAAUACCGCAUACGCCCUACGGGGGAAAGCAGGGGACCUUCGGGCCUUGCGCGAUUGGAUAUGCCCAGGUGGGAUUAGCUAGUUGGUGAGGUAAUGGCUCACCAAGGCGACGAUCCCUAGCUGAUCUGAGAGGAUGAUCAGCCACACUGGAACUGAGACACGGGCCAGAGCCCUACGGGAGGCAGCAGUGGGGAAUAUUGCACAAUGGGGGAAACCCUGAUGCAGCCAUGCCGCGUGUGUGAAGAAGGCCUUCGGGUUGUAAAGCACUUUCAGCGAGGAGGAAAGGUUGAUGCCUAAUACGUAUCAACUGUGACGUUACUCGCAGAAGAAGCACCGGCUAACUCCGUGCCAGCAGCCGCGGUAACAC
rnacentral:rRNA from 1 species